rnacentral:rRNA from 1 species
AAACCAACAGGGAUUGCCCCAGUAACGGCGAGUGAAGCGGCAAGAGCUCAAAUUUGAAAGCUGACUCCUUCGGGGUCCGCAUUGUAAUUUGCAGAGGAUGCUUCGGGAGCGGUCCCCAUCUAAGUGCCCUGGAACGGGACGUCAUAGAGGGUGAGAAUCCCGUAUGGGAUGGGGUGUCCGCGCCCGUGUGAAGCUCCUUCGACGAGUCGAGUUGUUUGGGAAUGCAGCUCUAAAUGGGUGGUAAAUUUCAUCUAAAGCUAAAUAUUGGCCGGAGACCGAUAGCGCACAAGUAGAGUGAUCGAAAGAUGAAAAGCACUUUGAAAAGAGAGUUAAAAAGCACGUGAAAUUGUUGAAAGGGAAGCGCUUGCGACCAGACUCGCUCGCGGGGUUCAGCCGGCAUUCGUGCCGGUGUACUUCCCCGCGAGCGGGCCAGCGUCGGUUUGGGCGGUCGGUCAAAGGCCCUCGGAAGGUAACGCCCCUAGGGGCGUCUUAUAGCCGAGGGUGCAAUGCGACCUGCCUAGACCGAGGAACGCGCUUCGGCUCGGACGCUGGCAUAAUGGUCGUAAGCGAC